CGGACGGGAUGGACUCGGUCGCGGUCAGCCAGUCAUUCUCCUCGUCCACCCAAGUCUGAAAAGAAGUGCACUCCCACUGCGCCGCCGUCCUCCACUGAAUCGAGUGGCUCCUCCUCCUUCCCCACUCCCCACUCUGCCGACUUAUCUCCGGGCUGCGCCACCUGGACCGGAGGCUACAUUGCCGAGCGAGCAGGGGAGCGGAGCGAGCGCCCGGCGGCUGGCGGCGACGUGCCGGAGAGGAGCACGGAGGCCGCGCGCCGGCGACGUCAUCGUCCUUCGACUUCCGCAGGAGAGCCCCUAUCUGAAGCACCUAUCUGACCGGUUGACAAGCCCCGAUCCGUAACCCACAAGCCCCUAGCUGACGUCCCAACCCAUAAUCCAGUGGUGGUGUUCCCUUCCCUGUGUAUCAGACUAUCAGCUCCUGACGGCCCAGUGCCGCAAACAGAGGAGCAUAUUCUUCUAGCUCCACAGGUUGGCGUGCCAUCGCUUAUUGAUGAUCCAGAGUUUAUAACUUGGGGUGGUGGAGCUUCGAUAUAUGCUGGCGUUUUCCAAACUCUUCAGUUUCUACAAGUUCCCUGGCUAUGAGGUUCCUAUCAUUCGUGGAUCUGCCUUGUCAUCCGUGUAUGGCCAUGGUUAUCCUCCCACUCCUCCUGCUCGUGCCUCUCACCGCUGCCCAAACGUGGCCAGCGUGCGGCGAGAGCGGCAACUACAAAUCAAAUAGCACCUAUGAAGCCAACCUCAAGCUCCUCUCUUCCAUCCUCCCAAAGAAAGCAGCAUCCAACACCACCCUCUUCGCCACCGACACCGUCGGCAAUGUUCCGAACACCAUCUUUGCCCUUGCUCUCUGCCGCGGGGACUCCAAUGCCUCUGCCUGCGAAGGAUGCUUGGUGACCGCCUUCCAGGACGGGAAGGAACACUGCACGAGCAAUAAGGACGCCACCGUGUACUACAAUAGCAAUCCCUGCAUGCUCAGGUUCUCCAACCAGAAUUUUCUCGCCACCAACGUCAAUGACAAUAUAUUCGUCAUUGUGAGCCUCGAGAUGUUCAUAAACAUCUCGACAAGAGCUUUCAACUUCUUGUUGUUCACACUUCUGAACAACACAGCUCAAUCGGCUGCGAACAGCUCGAGGAGGUUCACCACCUCGCGCUUAGAUGUCAGCUCCCUCCCGACGCUCUACUGCCUUAUGCAGUGCACGCCCGACCUGAGUGCUGAUGACUGUGCGGCCUGUUUCCAGCCUUACUCCCAGUUAACACUCAAGUACAUGGACCGUAGGAAAGGUGGUCGACUUCUGGGGACACGGUGUAGCAUGAGGUACGAGAUAUACCCGUUCUUUCAAGCGGACCCCAUGCUGCAUAUUAUCAGCUUGGUAUCUGAACUUCCGCCGAUCAACAAUACCAUGCCGCCAGUUACAUUGUACCCACCCCCGCAGUCGCAACCGCUGUCACCGGUUGCGGCACCACCACCUCCGGAGGCGCAGGCGACCACCCAAGAACUUCAUGGACGCAACUCACGCCGGAGGGUGCUUUGGAUUAUUGCUGUGGCAGCUCCAUUACUGUCAAUAUUUUUGUGUGUUAUUUGUUUCGUUGUAUGGAUGAGAAGACGAAGAAAAGGAACUGAAAUCGUACAUGAUCAAGCUGCCACAAAUAGGCCGGAAGAAGACGCAUUGGUUUGGAGAUUGGAAGAAAAGAGUUCAGAGUUCAUUCUCUUUGACUUUUCUGAGAUAUUGCAUGCUACACACAACUUCUCGAAAGAAAACCUACUUGGGCAAGGUGGUUUUGGCCCUGUCUACAAGGGCCAAUUACCAGAUGGAAUAGAAAUUGCAGUUAAAAGGCUUGCCUCACAUUCAAGACAGGGUUUCACGGAAUUCAAAAACGAAGUUGAACUUAUUGCAAAACUACAACACAGUAAUCUGGUCAAGCUCAUGGGUUGCUGCAUUCAGGGAGAGGAAAAACUUUUGGUGUACGAAUAUUUGCCAAAUAAGAGCUUGGACUUCUUUAUCUUUGAUGUUAGCAGAACAACGUUGGUUGAUUGGAAUAAAAGAUGUGUGAUAAUCGAAGGGAUAGCCCAAGGUCUACUGUAUCUCCACAAGCACUCUCGGUUGCGCAUCAUACACAGAGACCUUAAGGCCAGCAACAUUCUCUUGGACCAGGACAUGAAUCCUAAAAUUUCUGAUUUUGGGUUAGCUAAAAUUUUCAGCUCCAAUGAUACCCAAGGAAGCACAAAGAGGGUGGUGGGAACAUAUGGUUAUAUGGCUCCGGAGUACGCAUCUGAAGGCAUUUACUCGAUCAAAUCUGAUGUGUUCAGCUUUGGUGUCUUACUUCUCGAGAUCCUUAGCGGACAAAGGAAUUCUGGUUUCCAUCAGCAUGAAGACUUUCUUAACCUACUUGGAUACUCAUGGCAGCUCUGGGAAGGAGGAAGAUGUCUUGAGAUUCUAGAAGCAUCAAUUGCUAAGGAGAUCCAUGCAGCCGAGGCUAGGAGGUACAUUAACAUUGCACUAAUGUGCGUACAAGAGCAUGCAGAUGAUCGACCGACUAUGUCAAAUGUCGUUGCGAUGUUAAACAGCGAGGGUGUUAUUCUUCCAGAGCCUAAGCAUCCGGCAUACUUCAACCUAAGGGUAUCUAAGGAAGAUGAAUCGGGUAGUGUUCUGGACAGUCAUAAUGAUGUAACUAUCUGCAGUAAUAAUGACGUAACCAUCACUGAGGAGCCAGAUGGCAGAUAGUUGGUCACUUUGCUUCAGUCCUUCAGUUGUUAAUGGAAGUGCUAGCAAUCAGACAGCUGGCAGGCAUACCAAGUUAGCAUACCAGCCUGUCAUAUUUUGGUUCUGAUGAAGGAUUGCGACCGGCGUACCUCUGUAGAGCUUGCUGGUGUCCGUAGGCUAUAUUGAUAUGCAGGUUAAUUCUGUAUUUAGCUUUUGUGCACCUCACCAUUGUUUUCCACUGGUGGCUGCUGCUGUAGACUUUCAAAGAAGACUUGAAAUCCAAAGGAUUAAUCUCAAUCUGAAAGUAGCUGCAUUAACUGAAUCCUGCUGGGCGAAGUAUGUGCCGCAUCUAUGUGCGCCUUUCAUGUUUUCCUCUAGGUUAAUUCCAUUGGUGUGCUAGGGUUGUAGCAGUUCCAUACUGUUACAAAAAGAAGCAUUUUUUGUAGAGUUGUCACGAUAAUACCAACAUUGACGGUGGAUAAAUUCAUUGACUGUACCACUCACUCAUUGCUGCUAAGAACAGGAGUUUUGAUUUACAGUUUCAAGCAAAAUUUAUUUGGCAAACUCC